rnacentral:lncRNA from 1 species
CAGCACGAUAACAGAAAGAUCACAUCUUAGUACAUCCCAUCGAAUCGUUGGCAUCGAUAAGGAUGGAUCAUCAUUUUAUUCUGGGUGAUAUGAUGUGAUCCAUUCCACAUGCGACAAAAUGGGAACUUGGUUAGGCGGACCUGGUUGCCAUCACUCACAUGGAAGUAUCGGUAUUAAUUUUCUAUAAUCCAAGUCAUAUUCAUAAACGCCCU